CCCCCCCCCCCCCAGAGUGUCCAUCCUGACCCCAACAGUGACAUGUACACAUCUCUGAACAUGAUGACCAGGUCACCAGAGUAUGACACCCUGGCAAAUGUGAGGGACUUCGCAGUGACACAGCCCUCAGAUACAUGCUGAGCUCUCCAAUUAUGAGAACUUAAGAGAACCACCACAGAACCUGGACAGAAGAGAACCACCACAGAACCUGGACUGAAGAGAACCACCACAGAACCUGGACUGAAGAGAACCGCCACAGAACCUGGACUGAAGAGAACCACCACAGAACCUGGACUGAAGAGAACCACCACAGAGCCUGGACUGAAGAGAACCACCACAGAACCUGGACUGAAGAGAACCACCACAGAACCUGGACUGAAGAGCAACAGCAUCAGACCAAAGCUAGGCCUCACAAUGUUAUUCUCUUACUAUGAUAUUGCUUUUUAAUCUAUAAGGUUUGAGACAAUGAGCUUUAACUUUUGAGUUGAGUAUCUGGAGCAUCAGCAUUUGUGGGUUAAUUUACAGGAUCAAAAUGUCAACUUAUCUGUUUACUAUCUGUAGAUUGUAUUGCUUAUCUUUUUUAUAGGAUUUUGCCAAUUCUAGAUUUUUAUAACAUAUAAAGUUUUGGCUUGUCUUAGUGACACAAAAAUGAAUAAUAUUGACAAGAGAUUUUAAAUAUUUGUAUCUCUGGAGUUGUUCCUGAUGUGUUAAAAUAUGUUUUACUUUGUAUUGCUGUCAGUCAUUACUGGUCAUUUUAUAUUUUAUAUUAUGUAAUACUAUAUUGUUCAGUGUCAUGAUAUUGCUUGUUUCAUUAUCAAAUAAUUAAUAAUGACAUAUUUUAGAUACAUUGAAUACAGUAUAAGCAUCAUGUUGUAAAUAAGCUCAAAGGUAGACAAUAAAAAGACAACAAAUAAAUA